rnacentral:tRNA from 1 species
GGUGCAGUAGCAGAGUGGUUUAUAUGUGUGUGUGUUGUUCAGCAGGUCAUGGGUUCGAAGCCCCUCUGACCG